rnacentral:rRNA from 1 species
UACGUAGGUCCCGAGCGUUGUCCGGAUUUAUUGGGCGUAAAGCGAGCGCAGGUGGUUUAUUAAGUCUGGUGUAAAAGGCAGUGGCUCAACCAUUGUAUGCAUUGGAAACUGGUAGACUUGAGUGCAGGAGAGGUAAGUGGAAUUCCAUGUGUAGCGGUGAAAUGCGUAGAUAUAUGGAGGAACACCGGUGGCGAAAGCGGCUCUCUGGCCUGUAACUGACACUGAGGCUCGAAAGCGUGGGGAGCAAACAGG